rnacentral:rRNA from 1 species
ACUACGGGUGGCAGCAGUGGGGAAUCUUCCGCAAUGGGCGAAAGCCUGACGGAGCAACGCCGCGUGAUCGAAUGAAGGCCUUCGGGUUGUAAAGAUCUGUUGACAGGGACGAAUAAGCAAUGCGAAUAGUUUUGUGUAUGACGGUACCUGUUUAGAAAGCUCCGGCUAACUACGUGCCAGCAGGCGCGGUAAGACGGAGGGAGCAAGCGUUUUCCGGAAUUACUGGGCGUGAAGGGCGCGUAGGUGGUCGAUUAAGUCAGGUGUGAAAGCGCCGGGCUCAACCUGGAGACUGCACUGGAAACUGGGUGUCUUGAGGGCAGGAGAGGAAAGUGGAAUUCCGAGUGUAGCGGUGAAAUGCGUAGAUAUUAGGAGGAACACCAGUGGCGAAGGCGACUUUCUGGACUGUACCUGACGCUGAGGCGCGAAAGCGUGGGUAGCGAACGGGAUUAGAUACCCGGGUAGUC